GCGCCUGUAGCUCAGUGGAUAGAGCGAUUGGUUGCGGACCAAUAGGUCGGGAGUUCGAGUCUCUUCAGGCGCGCCA
rnacentral:tRNA from 1 species